CGAACCCAGGUUAGGCGGGAUUACUCAUUGAGUUUAAGCAUAUCAAGAAGCAGAGGAAAAGAAACUUACAAGGAUUCCCUUAGUAAUGACGAGCAAAAUGGGAAUAUGCCAGCCUUAGAAUUGGGCGGAUCUAUCAUCUAUAUUGUAGUCUGGAGAUGUGUCCUCAGCGACAGACCAAGCUUAAGUCUUCUAAAAGGGUGAGCCAGAGAGGGUGAGAGCCCCGUUGUUCCCCAACCUUGUCGUACCACAAGGCGCUGUCUACGAGUCAGGUUAUUUAGGAAUAUAGCCCAAAUCGGGCGGUGAAUUCUGACCAAGGCUAAAUAUGGGCGAGAGGCUAAUAGCGAACAAGUACCACGAGGGAAAGAUAAAAAAACUUUAAAAAGAGAGUCAAAUAGUGCUUUAAAUAGCUUGGACAGAAGAGGAUGGGGGCCUGCGAUGUGCCCCGAUUGGACCAACGUGGAUUAGGGGGCGGCCAAAGCUCAAGCUCCUGAUACACUCGUGAAAUGCCGUCUCCUCAAUUGUGGCAGGCAGCGCAUGUCUGUGGCAUGAUUCGGCAUCUACCCGCUCUAGACGCUGGCCUAUGGGCUCCCCAUUUGACCCAUCUUGAGAUAUGGACCAAGGAGUAUGACAUGUGUGUGGGUCAAUGGGUGAGUAAACCCGUAAGGCGUAAGGAAGCAGAUUGGUUGGAUCCUCCUAAGGGGUAUAUCGCCGACUGACCUUGAACUUCUAAGAAGGGUUUAAGUGUGAGAAUACCUAUCAGAACUCAAAAGGUGGUGAACUCUACCUUAGCUUGGAAAAGCCAAAGAAAACUAUGGUAGAGGCCCACAAUGAUACUGACGUGAAAAUUAUUCGUCUGACAUGGGUAUGGGGCGAAAAACUAAUCGAACAGUCUAGUAGCUGGUUCCAUCAGAAGUUUCCCUCAGGAUAACUGGAGCUCACGAGAAAGUUCUAUCUGGUAAAGCCAAUGAUUAGAGGCCUUGGGGGCACAACUCCCUCGAGCUAUUCUCAAACUUUAAAUAGGUAGGUCGGUGUGGCUGCUUUGUUAAGCUGUGCUACGGAAUCAAGAGGUAUAAGUGGGCUAUUGUUAGUAAGUAGAAUCAGUGAUGAAGGAUGAACCAGAAUCCGGGUUACGGUGCCAAACUGUGCGCUAACCUAGAUCCCACAAAGGCUGUUGGUCAAAUAAGACAGCAAGAUGGUGGUCAUGGAAGUCAAAAUUCACUAAGGAUUGUGUAAUAACUAACUUGACGAAACAAAUAGCCUCAAAAAUGAAUGAUGCUUAAGCGCGCGACCUACACCCAGCCAUCGGGGCAAGUGCCAAGCCCCGAUGAGUAGGAGGGCAAGACAGUCACUACAAAACCAUAGGUGCGAGCCUAGGCAGAGCGGCCAUUGGUACAGAUCUUAGUGGUAGUAGCAAAUAUUUAAAUGAGAACUUUGAAGGCCGAAGAGAGGAAAGGUUCCAUAUGAAUGGCACUUGCACAUGGGUUAGGCGAUCCUAAGGGUCGGGGGAACCCCCAUAAAUAGCAUGUUUCACGUGUACCUUGAAAGUAAAUCGAGUUAAAAUUCUUGAACCGUCCAUGACCGAUCGUACUCAUAGUCGCAUCAGGUCUCCAUGAUAAAUAACCUCUGGUCGAUGGAAUAAUGUAGGCAAGGAAAGUUGGAAAAAUGGAUUGAUAACUUUGAAAAAAGGAUUGGCUCUGAGGGAUGGGGAUGGGAUUCCCAGUCCCGAACCCGUCGGCUUUCGGUGGACUGCUUGAGCUACUCUUGCAUUGAGAGCGGGUCACUACAGGCCAUCCAGGGGAUGAACUGGGAAUGGUUCCUUCGGGGUCCUUCCCCGCACUUUGAACAGCCAACUCAGAACAGGUACAGACAAAGAGAAUCCGACUAUUUAAUUAAAACAAAGCAUUGCGAUGGUCCUAACAGAUCUUCACGCAAUGUGAUUUCUGCCUAGUGAUCUGAAUGUCAAAGUGAAGAAAUUCAACCAAGCGCAUGUAAAUGGUGUGAGUAACCAUGACUCUCUUAAGGUAGACAAAUGCCUUUUCAUAUAAUUUGUGACGUGUAUGAAUGGAUUUAUAAGAUUCCUACUAUCCCUAUCUACUAUCCAGCAAAAGCACAGCCAAGGGAACGGGCUUGGAAAAAUAAGAAGGGAAAGAAGACCCUGUUGAACUUGACUCAAGUCAAAGUUUGUGAAAUGACUUGAGAGGUGUAGUAAAAGAAGAAAGUGAAAUACAACUACUUUUAAUGUUAUUUUACUUAUUCCAUGAAUUGAAAGUGGGGCACUGCCCCUCUUUUUGGACCCAAGGCUUGCUUCGUGGGCUGAUCUGGGUGAAAGAAAUUGUCAGGUGGAAAGUUUGGCUGGGGCGGCACAUCUGUAAAUAUAUAACAUAAGUGUCAUAAGAUGAGCACAAUGAGAACAGAAAUCUUAUGUGGAACAGAAGGGUAAAAGCUCGUUUGAUUUUGAUUUUCAGUACGAAUACGAACCGUGAAUGCAUGAGCUAAUGAUUCUUUAUACCUUGAAAAUUGGAAGCUAGAGUUGUCAGAAAAGUUAACGCAGGGAUAACUGGCUUAUGGAAGCCAAGCAUUCAUAGAGAACGUGAGCUAGGUUUAGAACAUGCCGAGAUAGGUUCCUAUUACCCUAGUGAUGACCGUGUCGCAAUUGUAAUUCAACCUAGUACAAGCAAAAUCGUUGAUUCACACAAUUAGUCUUCGCGCUUGGUUGAAAAGCCAGUGGCGCGAAGCUACUCCGUGCUGGAUUAUGAUUGAACACCUCUAAGUUAGAAUUUGGGCUAAAAGCGAUACAUGCACCAGUUGUUCUCCUACCGACCCACAGUAGGGGUCUCAGCCCCCAAGGGCACGUGUCGUUACCUAAGCCUUCAUAGUGGAAAGGACGCAGUGUCCCCUUAAAGUACAAUUUCUAUAGAUCAGCGGGUGAAUCCUUUGCAAAUGACUUAAAUAUGUGAUGGGGUUAUAAGUGGCCGAGUAGCCUUGCUUCCACAAUCUACUAAGAUUCAGUCCUUUGUUCCUCUGGUUCGU
rnacentral:rRNA from 1 species